GCCUCGGUGCUGUAAUGGUAGCACGCUCCCGUGGUAUGGGUGAAACACGGUUCAAUUCCCGUCUGAGGGCU